rnacentral:tRNA from 1 species
AAGGGAGACCUCCCGCUUAGGUUCAGAGUAAUGCUGGAGCUAAGACGGUCAACCUAAGGUCGGUCGAGGGAAAUAGUCAAGCGACUUUCAAACUAUCUAGGUGAUGAGGGAAAUGGGCUAUUAGCUCAGGUGGUUAGAGCGCACCCCUGAUAAGGGUGAGGUCCCUGGUUCGAGUCCAGGAUGGCCCACCUUUGAAGAGGGGGUUUAGCUCAGUUGGUAGAGCGCCUGCUUUGCAAGCAGGAUGUCAACGGUUCGAGUCCGUUAACCUCCACUAGAGUUCAGCAUCUUAUUUCAAGUGUAUUAAAGACAAUUGAGAAAGCCUGCUGGAUUAAAUCCAGAUAGAACCUUGAAAACUGCAUAGUGACUUGUCAGGUAGAAGCAACGCUUAGCGAAUUAUUCUUAAUGUUUUUGUUAGGGAUGUAAUACGUCAAGUGUUGAUUCACAGAUACCAAUGUACAACUUGAGAAAGUUGAAAUUGU